rnacentral:rRNA from 1 species
CGGCGAGUGAAGCGGCAACAGCUCAAAUUUGAAAUCUGGCCCUUUCAGGGUCCGAGUUGUAAUUUGUAGAGGAUGUUUCGGGUGUGGCUCCGGUCUAAGUUCCUUGGAACAGGACGUCAUAGAGGGUGAGAAUCCCGUAUGUGACUGGUAGCCUACGCCCAUGUGAAACUCCUUCGACGAGUCGAGUUGUUUGGGAAUGCAGCUCAAAAUGGGUGGUAAAUUUCAUCUAAAGCUAAAUAUUGGCCAGAGACCGAUAGCGCACAAGUAGAGUGAUCGAAAGAUGAAAAGCACUUUGGAAAGAGAGUUAAACAGUACGUGAAAUUGUUGAAAGGGAAGCGCUUGCAACCAGACUUGCAUGUGGCUGAUCAACCGGUGUUCUCACCGGUGCACUCAGUCACGUUCAGGCCAGCAUCGGUUUCGACGGUUGGAUAAAGGCCUUGGGAAUGUAGCUCCUCUCGGGGAGUGUUAUAGCCCAGGGUGCAAUGCAGCCUGUUGGGACCGAGGACCGCGCUUCGGCUAGGAUGCUGGCGUAAUGGUUGUAAGCGACCCGUCUUGAAACACGGACCAAGGAGUCUAACAUCUAUGCGAGUGUUUGGGUGUCAAACCCAUACGCGUAAUGAAAGUGAACGGAGGUGAGAACCCUUAAGGGUGCAUCAUCGACCGAUCCUGAUGUCUUCGGAUGGAUUUGAGUAAGAGCAUAGCUGUUGGGACCCGAAAGAUGGUGAACUAUGCCUGAAUAGGGUGAAGCCAGAGGAAACUCUGGUGGAGGCUCGCAGCGGUUCUGACGUGCAAAUCGAUCGUCAAAUUUGGGUAUAA